rnacentral:rRNA from 1 species
GACAGAGGUGCCAAGCGUUAGGCGGAAUCACUGGGCUUAAAGCGUGUGUAGGCGGAAUUGUAAGUACCUUGUGAAAUCCCACAGCUCAACUGUGGAACUGCUCGGUAUACUGCUUUUCUUGAGCCACUUAGGGCUGUCGGAACAAACGGUGGAGCGGUGAAAUGCGUAGAUAUCAAGAGGAACACCUGCGGCGAAGGCGGGUGCUGG